CCUGUUAAUUCAAAGUUUUGAGGUCACACCCGUUCCCAUGCCGAACACGGAAGUUAAGCUCUUCAGCGCCGAUGGUAGUCGGGGGUUUCCCCCUGUGAGAGUAGGACGCCGCCAAGC
rnacentral:rRNA from 1 species